ACAGGAUGGUGCAGUCGAGUAUGCAUUGAGCCCAAGGUCUGGGCGCAAUAACAUAAUUUUGCAAGUCAUGAUGGAGACUAAGAAAAUUCGACAGCAUAUACAUCAAAUGGAAUGGUUGACUGACACAAAUGCAAUUCCACAAAUUCUAUAGGUAAGUGAUGGG